CCGGCCACGGUGGGAUUCGAACCUACGACCUUUGGAAUAGUUGGAAGAGCAUUGGGCUAGUAUUCCAAAGGUCGUAGGUUCGAAUCCCACCGUGGCCGG